rnacentral:lncRNA from 1 species
UCCAGCCCUGGUGGUUUUGGUCAGCAUCUUUACAGUAAGCCGUGGGGAAGUGUGGAGUUGCUCGAGUGUGGCAGUGCUUUUGGCCUUGAGCCCCACAUGCAGGUCACUUUCAUCAGAACAGGAAAACGAAACAGGCUCCCCUGAAUGAUUUAUGGGAGGGCUUGUGUUUUGGGGAUGUGAUACUGCAAUUUGUGUUAUAGGACCAAGACAUCUGUUUCCAGGGAGGUGCGUUCUCUUACCAUGAGCCUUUCCCACGAGGGAUCUUUUGCCCCCUUAAGAGUUAUCCAUUUUAUCUUAGUUGCAUGUUAGCAUAAUGGGCCUUCUGGUGACAAGUGGCCUCACCAGGACCUGAGUGUGCAUGGUGUGGGGCCAACUGGGAGGUGAGCAGGAGCUGUCUCGGUCUUACCCUGUCCCUCGGAUGGUGUCUAGCCGUGCAGUAAGCUGUAGGAUUAGGGAGCAUGCCAUCUGUGAGAUGGCACAGGCAAACUCCCACUUAACAAUUAAGUUUUAGCCAUUUAUUUGAUUAAAUUUCAGUUAUGCUAACUGUCCCCAUGUGGAUUAAUGGCCCAUGCUGGGGAGCUCUGCUGCCAGCAGAUCUUGGCCCACAACCCCUUCUCACCAGGAGGUAAAGUUCCCUGGGGAGGCCUGAAGCCAGGGGUGUGCAAUUGUAGAGUAUCCUGGCUAGGGGAGCUUUGGCAAGGUUCUUGCUCAAGUCCUCACAUCACAGAGGACAAAACUGAGGCUGGCUUCAGUCACCAGGAGCCAGUAUGGAAGGGACCCACAUAAUGGCCACACAGCCUGUCAAGUGUUGAGUCACUUGACAGUUAUUUGACUCAUUCCUUUUUGUCUACAAGCAGUGGGGGCAUGGCAUGGUGCAUGUAGAUGGAAACACAAUGUGUACCUGUGACGGACAAGCACCCCACCUCCUACCCCUUCUCAGAAGGGGAAUUUGGGAGGAGGUUUGCCCCUGCCCACUUU